GGGCCAUUAGCGCAGUGGUAGCGCGCUUCCUUCACACGGAAGAGGUCACUGGUUCGAACCCAGUAUGGCCCA
rnacentral:tRNA from 1 species